rnacentral:rRNA from 1 species
UACGUAGGGGGCAAGCGUUGUCCGGAUUUAUUGGGCGUAAAGAGCUCGUAGGUGGUUUGGUAAGUCGGAUGUGAAACCUCCAGGCUCAACCUGGAGACGCCACCUGAUACUGCUGUGGCUAGAGUCCGGUAGGGGAGCGUGGAAUUCCUGGUGUAGCGGUGAAAUGCGCAGAUAUCAGGAGGAACACCAGCGGCGAAGGCGGCGCUCUGGGCCGGAACUGACGCUGAGGAGCGAAAGCGUGGGUAGCAAACAGG